rnacentral:lncRNA from 1 species
GUUCUUGGGCAAUGAGACUAUUGUCCCCAAUCCUCCUGCCUGGGACAAACGCAGAUUGAGCAUUAGGGAUCAAAGAAGGAAGCAUAGGCUUAAGUCUAGCAGCAAUAAUUUUGAAAAUAUAUCUAUAAUAGUUUUAACAUUAAACUAUUAUUUAUUCUUAUUUUAAUUAUACUUAUUACUACUAAUGAUGUAAGUUAUAUAUUUGUAAUAAAUUAAUAAUUAAAUGGAAUUUCAAAAGUUUAACGAGUAUAUCUCUUGUUCUGAAAUAAAAUAAAAUUACACCUUAUGAUCACCAUAAAUUAAUUAGUACUCGUACCUUAUUCAAAUGAACCAAAUAAAAAAAAAUUCUAAAUAAUUUGUACUUUAUCAAAUGUCUCAUUCUAGGCUUGAUAACCACACAUCAAAUGAUUCAUAAUCAAAUGAAUAGUUGCUCCCUUAUUUCCACAUAGAAGAAGAGUAAUUACACUUUAUACCAAUUUAAAUUAUAUAUGUCCACUAUAUAAUGAAUUUUGUCAAGCUUAUAGAUGACCCCAAAAAAAUCCACAAUGUAUAAAAUAAGGUGUACUUUUUAACAAAUAUGUCUCUUGCAACCUACAAAUAGCCUUGUAUUUGAAUUAUUUGGAGCAAGUGAAAUAAAAGUGUUCUCAAAUAUUCUCUAAAGUCAUAUUUUUCUUCUCAAAUAAAAUACAUGCCCUAUUCCAUUUCCCUCAUAUAAUCUGCUAUUGAUUUCAAAAAAAAUACUUGGUAGAAACAAAAUACUUUAAAAAGAGAAACAAUUACAAAAUGAAUAUAAUAUAUACUUAUUUAUUAUUCUAUAAUUGGUUUAACCCUCCCCGGGUCAGCUGACCGCUAUAAGAGUUUUGGAAUGACUAACAAUUUGAUGUACAAUAAAGAUAAGAAAACCAUAUGUUUAUUGCGAAAAAAAGUACGAAUAUAGCAUAUUAGUACCUAUAAUUUGUGAUGAACAUAUUUGAUUUGACGAUGAUAUUCAAGUAGUUUUUGUAAAGUUCUUGUGAAAUAAAUCUUAUGUAGAAAGACUUAGUUUAGAAAUCAAAAAUGUUAGGUUGAUUCAAUUUCAUAGAGAUAAACUCUGUAAUAGCUAACUAAAAAAUAUUAUAAUCCCUGCAAACAAACAUACCCUUAAAAGUCUAAUAGGGAAGUGAGCAUGUUCUUAGUAUUGCUCAUGCAGGACCACAGCCAGGUGUCACCUUGAGAGGCUUCGCCUUUGUUUGAAAAGGGGGAUGAUCAUGGAAAAGGAAAAUGAGGUCACCAUAUUUCCCGAUGGUUCCUCUCGGGUGCUUGGGCCCUUAUCCUUAGUUCGCCUUAUGUUAUGAAGGUCUCUUGUCUUGGCAACCUGAAAGGCCCUAGAGGUUCGUGUUCGUGGUAGGUAUGUCCUGACAGUCACUCCUCUCCAACGAGAAUUCCUCAUCCAAAGUCGUAGUUGUUUUCAACGACACCAACACCUCCUCCAUAACAACAACCACCAACACCAAAAAUAGGAAGAGAAACUCCUCUUAAUCGGUCAAAGAUUUCUCCAAAUUUAUAGAACUCUUAUAAGCCAAAGACAAUUGAUUUGGCUCUCCGCCAUCUCUGUAUCGUUGAUCCAGAUCUGCAUUCUCCUUCUCCUCCUUUCAUGUUUUUCUUCUUCUCCUCAAGCCCUAAAUUUGGUGCAUUUGAAGAAGAUGGAUAAUGGGUUUGUAAUUACUUAGCCUAAAAAAUACAAUCAACUUGCACAACAAUUGUAAGACCCCAA